rnacentral:rRNA from 1 species
UACAGAGGGUGCAAGCGUUAAUCGGAGUUACUGGGCGUAAAGGGCGCGUAGGCGGUUAUUUAAGUUUGAUGUGAAAUCCCUGGGCUUAACCUAGGAACUGCAUUGAAUACUGGGUAACUGGAGUACUGCAGAGGGUAGUGGAAUUUCCGGUGUAGCGGUGAAAUGCGUAGAGAUCGGAAGGAACACCAGUGGCGAAGGCGGCUACCUGGACAGAUACUGACGCUGAGGCGCGAGAGCGUGGGGGAGCAAACAGG